GCUGGGUGCAGUGGCGGACACCUGUAAUCCCAGCAGCUCGGGAGGCCGAGGCAGGAGGAUGGCCAGUUCAAAGCCGGCCCUAGCAAAAGUGAGGCCCUAAGCGGCUCAGGGAGACCCUGUCUCUA
rnacentral:sRNA from 1 species